ACCCCUGCAUUAGCUCUUUAAUGCCCUAACUGCUCCAGCUCCAAAUGUCUUAUAGAAACAACUUAUAGUAAAAAACUGGGACUUAAAUAUAGCUAAAAACAGUGAGCUGUAACCAAAUUGCGAUCAUCUACAUUUCUGUUUGCUGUUUUCUAAUUUAGGCUAUUGCAUCUGAGUGAAUAAUUGUAAAGCAAAUGCUCAGUAUAUGCAGAUAUUAGGCAAAAGGCACUGUUUUAUAUACAAGUGACUAGGAUCAUAGGAUCAGUGGAUUAACUUUGUCGCCUCAUUAAAGGGGUACUCCGGUGGAAAAAAAUUUUUUUUUUCUUUUUUAAAUCAACUGGUGCCAGAAAGUUAAACAUAUUUAUAAAUUACUUCUAUUAAAAAAAUCUUAAUAUUUCCAGUACUUAUUAGCUGCUGAAUGCUACAGAGGAAAUUCCUUUCUUUUUGGAACACGGAUGACAUCACGACCACAGUACUCUCUGCUGACAUCUCUGUCCAUUUUAGCAACCGUACAGAGCAGAUGUAUGCUAAGGGCAGCAUGGUGGCUUAGUGGUUAGCGCUACUGCCUUACAGUGCUGAGGCCUUGGGUUCAAAUCCCACUAAGGACAACAAUAAAUAUAGACUUAUUAUUAUAAUAACGUCAGCAGAGAGCAGUGUGUUUGUGAUGUCAAAUCCACCACAUUUUAUGUGGAAACCUUAGUAAAUAUGUUGGCUUUUUGUGAAAAUGUAGGGAACACGCCCCUUUUUGGAGACCAUGCCCUCUUUUCCAGGCGGCCACACCCCUUUUUCGGGUUUUCCCAGCAAAAUGAAGAGUUAGUCGGGUUUUUUUCAAUUCUGGUGCAAAUUCUGGCGCAACAUCUGGCGCAGACAGAAUUUCUGGCGCAAUGGGACAGAAUCUGGUGCAUAACCCGACAAAACAUGUUUGGUUUGCAAUAGUAAACGAGGGCCAGUGUCUCAGACACGUCUCAGAAACUGUGCGACAAUAUGCACCAGGAAAAUCCAACUAACCCGACAUUGCAUUGUGAAAAGCCAAAAAAGGUGCGAGGUCUGUUGCAAAGGGGGUGUGGCCGGCCCCAAAAGGGGGCGUGGUUUCAUAACCCGACCUAUUUACUAUUGAAUUCACAGAAAAUCCUGUGAAUAAAUGGCUAGAAAUUUCCACCUUGAAAAAGCUGGUCAGAAAAUGUUCCCAACAUGUAAAUCUGUGAUCCCCAUAGUAAAUGGAGAGGAAUCCUACAAGUCUGAAACAACAUUUCACACUACUAAAAACCCUACACUUUUAAUAAAUUAGGCCCAUUAUUUUCUUCCUUUUCUUCAUCCUUGUGUGAGAGAGCAAUGUGUCCUGAAACACUAUGAUACAUGAAUCGUUUUUUGAUAUUGCUGUGGUGUUGGUUGAGGCAUUGGUGGAGUUGUUGAGUAGUGCGCCCCACAUAUUGCUUUCCGCACUUACAGUUAAUGAAAUAGAUGAUGUACGAGGACUGACACGUUGUAUUAUACUUGAUGGUGUAUGUGCUCGUAAAUGUGUUUUUUCGUGUUCUAGCACAAACACCAUUUUUUUACAUUUAUACACACCCUUCUUCAGAGAAAUAGAACUGGAAGAUGAGGUCAUCUUGGUUUGCUUUCUGAUUCGACUUGGUGCAAUCAUGUUGCGCAAAGAUGGUGCCCUCCGGUAAGUUAAGCCAGGUUUUUCAGGUAGAAUGCUUUUUAGAUAGGGGUUGGAUUUUAAAAUACCCCAAUGUUUGUUUAGAAUUUUUUUUUAUCAUGUGAUGACCUCUUGAAUAGGUGGUUGUGAAGUUAGUAUUAUACUUUUGUUGGAAUUUUUUAGUUUCAUGUAUUGUUUCUGGAUUUUCUUUUUCUUUCUUUUUCAGAUCUUGUGAACUGUGUAAAAUAGAAGACAGGCAAUCAUCCUGGUUCUCUACUAAGAACUCUGCAACCACGGGUGAGCGCCACAAGGAGUACCUUUUUACCUACUUCUGUGGGAUUAUCACAAGUAUCGUCAGACCGACCUGAGGAUCUCUCCAGAAGGGACAACUCCUGACAGCACCCUGUCUACCUGGCCACUGAGUUGGGCUACACACUCUAUUAGAUGUUGUGUUCUCAGCACAACAUCAAAAGAAAGUUGGUACUCAAGCUGCUACAUGCUCAACCUGAAUCGAUAACUGGAUUGGAACAUAAUGACCAGCAGAUAGUUUGUGACCUCUUGGAUCUUUUACAGGAUAAUGAGUUGAAUUCCUGGAUUUACAGAUCAAGAUUCAAAAACAUCAUCUAAUUACCGACUUGCAUCGUAAGGAGACCGCAACUAACAGCGUACUACACUUUUUUUUAAACUUUCAUCCACUUCAUACACCCCGAGGUAUACCAAGGGGACAGUUCCUGAGAGUUAAGUGGAACUGUAACAUAGUGGAGUUAUUUAAAGCACAAUCACAAGAUUUGACUAAGAGAUUUUGUAAACAUUGAUAUCCAAAAAAACCUAUCACGGGCCUUCCAGAGGGCAGCACGAUCGAAUAGAGAGACAUUGUUGGUGCCUGCAGCGAGGAGAUCUGAUGAAAAACUUUGUGUCAUCUUGACAUAUCAUAAUCAGUGGAAUAAGAUGAAAUCGAUUUUUGAGAACAAUUGGAACAUCCUGAUGUCUGAUAGCAGAAUACAUGCGAUCAUUCCUGAAAGACCAUUGGUAGUGUCUCGGAGAGCACCCAAUCUACGACAUAUUGACACGGAGUAAUUUCCAAAGAUCAACUGCCAGUAUAGGAAGAGGAGCCAGAUGCCAGGGUUCAUAUGCCUGUUGCGAUUGUAACAUUUGCCAGUAUAUGACAGCCACAAGGACUUUUACUUACCCGAAUAAUGACCAACAGUACCGGAUUAAGGGGUUCAUUAAUUGUAAGACCAGUAAUGUCGUAUGUGCAUUGACUUGCCCAUGUCACAAAAUCUAUGUUGGGCAAACCAGCCAGCAACUGCGGAAACACAUUCAAAAGCAUUUAUCCACCAUUGGACUAGCAAGGAGGGAUGUGGCUCUGGAUAGAGCACUAACAUCGGUAUCUUCCCAUUUUCAUCGGUACCAUUCGGGACAUACAGCAGGACUAAGGGUUGUGGGAUUUAGCUGUAAACUCCGGCAUUGAUCUGAUAGGACAAAUAGCUCUCUCCUGUACAAUUUAAACUACGCGCCCCAUAAGAAGCAAAAAAAAAACUCAUCACACGUCGGCACUUCUAACAUUGGGCAUGUUUAUUCCCCACAGAUACAACCAAAACAUCGCUGAUUGGUCACCUUCUCUAAAGUUACACACUGAUUGGCCACUGGAUAUGUGAAGAAAACAGCGGGAACCACGAUUUACACAUAUUCAGCCUGAAAUUUCCAUUGGCCGCCAGAAGAAGUGACGUCGCAGCCGGCUCCAUGCGGAUUGGCUAUUGAAAUCUAAGAAUGAACGAGCGUAUCCAUCUGAAACACGACACACACUUGGAUAAUAAAUAGCCCAGCCCCGAUAAGUGAGCUAUCAUGCCGCAAUACAUUUACGCCUUAAAAGACUACAUAAACCUACAUACUCCAUACACCUUUCUUUGUGGAAUUUUAAUUACAUUGUAUUGUAUGCUUUGUACUAUGUUUUCAUGAGAUUCAGAUAUGCAUUUUUAACAAGUUACAUAAGUUUAUUUGUCACGCCCCUAUGUGGGCUGAAUCUGGACUGGUUGUAGCUCCUUUUUACCAUUUGCAUAUGGCGUCUCACUGUAUGCACCUUACACUUUGCGAUUGAAAAAGGGGGAACUUACCCUCGAAAUGCAUUUUGCAUGUCUGUUAUCUCAAUUUAUAUAACAAUAAAUGAGAUUUUAU